rnacentral:lncRNA from 1 species
CCUUAUGGUUACGUCACCUCACGGUGACGGCCAGCAUGCUUCGACCUUUUCAGGUCGGGGUGUGUCAGAUUUAACCGUCAUAAAAUUAUUAUAACCCUCAGUAUUUUUGAAUUCUUUUUUUUUUAAUAUUUUUACAUAUUCUGGCGGUUUCUAAGUUAAUUGUGGCGGUUAUAACCGACAUAAAUUAACUAUUUUAUUAUUUUAGAUUCUGGCGGUUAUUAUUUUAGUAUUCUACCGGUUAUAACCGACAGAAAUUGACUAUUUUAUUAUUUUAAAAUGUUACAUUGAUUAAAAAUAAAUAAACAAAUGGUGUAAAUAUUUGUUUUCACUCACGGUCCCUUUACCUAAUCUCUUAAUGUUUUUUUUUUUGCGAUUUUUUACACAUGCUAUCUUGGAGUAUAUAUAAACAUAUUUGACGGUUAAAUCGUUGAAACUAGUUUCGUAGAAUGCAUACCUAUCAAAUUGAUAGAUUUAACAAACACUGAAAGAGUUAAUGUUAUACUUCCAUUAAGUAUAAAAAAUUAUUCACUAGUGUAAAUAUUUUAAAUUGAAGAUCGAAUUCGUUCAAUGCAUUCCUAUAGGGUCGAGGAGUGUAACUGUAAAAAAUCAUCAAAAUCAAAGCUAAAAUAACUGUUAAAUUGUGAUUUUUUGUUUAAAACCAUCGAAAUUUUUUGUUUCGUUACCUAAUAUCUGAAUGUUUGUUUUUUACAAUUUUGUACGUAUGCAAUCUCGGAGUGUGUAAAAAUAAGUUUGACAGUUGGAUCGUUAAAAAAAGUUUCAUAGAAUGCAUAUUGCAUCAAAACAGUAGAUUAAACAAACAUUAGUUAAUAGUAUACUUCUAUUAAGUAUAAAAUAAGAUUUUGUGGUAUCCACUAGUGUAAAUAUUUUAAAUUGAAGAUCAAAUUUAUUCAUUACAUUCUUAUAGGGUCGAGGAGUGUAGCUGUAAAAAAUCAUCAAAAUCGAAGCUAAAAUAACCGUUAAAUUGUGAUUUUUCUUUUAUAACCGUCGAAAACUUUUGUUUCGUUACCUAAUAUCUGAAUGUUUGUUUUUUACGAUUUUUUGCGUAUAAAAUCUUGGAGUGUGUACAAAUACGUUUGACGGUUGGAUCGUUGAAAAAAUCUUCUUAGAAUGCGUAUCACAUCAAAACAAUAGAUUAAACAAACACUUAGAGUUAAUGUUAUACUUCCAUUAAGAAUAAAAUAAGAUUUUGUGGUAUCCACUAGUGUAAAUAUUUUAAAUUAAAGAUCAAAUUUAUUCAUUACAUUCUUAUAGGGUUGAGAAGUGUAGCUGUAAAAAAUCAUCAAAAUUGGAGCUAAAAUAACGUUUAAAUUGUGAUUUUUUGUUUAUAACCGUCGAAAACUUUUGUUCCGUUACGUAAUCUUUGAAUGUUUGUUUUUUACGAUUUUUUACGUAUGCAAUCUCGAAGUGUGUACAAAUAAGUUUGACGGUUGGAUCGUUGAAAAAAGUUUUGUAGAAUGGAUAUUGCGUCAAAAUGGUAGAUUAAAAAAACACUUAGAGUUAAUAUUAUACUUCUAUUAUGUAUAAAAUAAGAUUUUGUGGUAUCCACUAAUGUAAAUAUUUUAAAUUAAAGAUCAAAUUUAUUCAUUACAUUCUUAUAGGGUCGAGGAGCGUAGCUGUAAAAAAUCAUCAAAAUCGGAGCUAAAAUUACCGUUAAAUUGUGAUUUUUCGUUUAUAACCGUCGAAAACUUUUGUUAUGUUACCUAAUAUCUGAAUGUUUGUUUUCUGUGAUUUUUUACAUAUGUGAUCUCAGACUGUGUACAAAUAAGUUUGACGGUUGGAUUGUUGAAAAAAGUUUCGUAGGAUGCAUAUCGCGUCAAAACGGUAGAUUAAACAAACACUUAGAGUUAAUAUUAUACUUCCAUUAAGUAUAAAAUAAGAUUUUGUAGUAUCCACUAGUGUAAAUAUUUUAAAUUGAAGAUCAAAUUCAUUCAAUGCAUUCUUAUAGGGUCGAGGAGUGUAGCUGUAAAAAAUCAUCAAAAUCGGAGCUAAAAUAACCGUUAAAUUGUGAUUUUCAUUUAUAACCGUCGAAAACUUUUGUUAUGUUACCUAAUAUCUGAAUGUUUGUUUUCUGUGAUUUUUUACGUAUGCGAUCUCAGAGUGCGUACAAAUAAGUUUAACGGUUGGAUCGUUGAAAAAAGUUUUGUAGGAUGCAUAUCGCGUCAAAACGGUAGAUUAAACAAACACUUAGAGUUAAUAUUAUACUUCCAUUAAGUAUAAAAUAAGAUUUGUGGUAUCCACUAGUGUAAAUAUUUUAAAUUGAAGAUCAAAUUCGCGUCAAAACGGUAGAUUAAAUUGUAAAUAUUUUGUUCAUAACCGUCGAAAACUUUUGUUUUGUUACCUAAUUUCUGAAUGUUUUUUUUUUUGCGAUUUUUUAUGUAAGCGAUCUUGUAGUAUCUACAAACAAGUUUGACGGUUAGAUCAUGGAAACUAGUUUCAUAGAAUGCAUAUCUCUGUUAAAUUUGCCUAAAUUUUGAAGUGGGAAAAGUAAUUUGUGCUAAAUUUUUAUUUAUGUUUUUCAAGUAUUGAUUAGACAAUAUUUCGUUUGUGUGAUGACAUUUACAUUGUAUAAUUCUCUUUUUGUUUAUUUAUCGCAUAUUUUACAUGGGUUAUUAUCUAUUAAACCAAAAGUGUAAAAAUUAUCUAUUAAACCAAACAAUUAUUUAUUUAAUUUUUAAAAACGUAUUCUAUUUAAAUACAUAUUAUUUAUUAAACCAAACAAUUAUUAUUUUA